rnacentral:rRNA from 1 species
GGGACAACAGUUGGAAACGACUGCUAAUACCGCAUAAGCGCACAGCUUCGCAUGAAGCAGUGUGAAAAACUCCGGUGGUACAAGAUGGACCCGCGUCUGAUUAGCUGGUUGGUGAGGUAACGGCCCACCAAGGCGACGAUCAGUAGCCGGCCUGAGAGGGUGAACGGCCACAUUGGGACUGAGGCACGGCCCAAACUCCUACGGGAGGCAGCAGUGGGGAAUAUUGCACAAUGGGGGAAACCCUGAUGCAGCAACGCCGCGUGAGUGAAGAAGUAUUUCGGUAUGUAAAGCUCUAUCAGCAGGAAAGAAAAUGACGGUACCUGACUAAGAAGCCCCGGCUAACUACGUGCCAGCAGCCGCGGUAAUACGUAGGGGGCAAGCGUUAUCCGGAUUUACUGGGUGUAAAGGGAGCGUAGACGGUUUUGCAAGUCUGAAGUGAAAGCCCGGGGCUUAACCCCGGGACUGCUUUGGAAACUGUAGGACUAGAGUGCAGGAGAGGUAAGUGGAAUUCCUAGUGUAGCGGUGAAAUGCGUAGAUAUUAGGAGGAACACCAGUGGCGAAGGCGGCUUACUGGACUGUAACUGACGUUGAGGCUCGAAAGCGUGGGGAGCAAACAGGAUUAGAUACCCUGGUAGUCCACGCCGUAA